CAAACCGCUAAUUAUCGCAUUCUUUUUUUUUUGUUACUAUAUUAUUAUGUAAUCCAUAAAAAUAAUAAAAUAAUAAAAUACAAAAAAAAAAUUCGGUCCAGAAGGUGCUCCUGGUGAAAAUUAAUUUGGCACUCAAAGGCAUUGAGGUGUAACAGCAUUUUAGGGGCUAUUGUAAUUCCCACUUCCAGGACUUGAUAAUACAUACAGCCGACAGCCCGAUGACCUACAUUUUUGUGUAUUCUGGUCUACCCUAUGAUGGCCGCGAAGUAACGAUCACGUCACCGUUUAUCAGAUUGCCCAGUUUGAAGGAGUCUCCAACAAUUUCAUCGGAUAGGUACGCCAUAAAUCGUGGCAUAGCGCUGGGCCAGAAUCAUUUUGUCCGGAUCAAUAUGUACAAAAAUGACAUCCCAAUUAUUAGAAGCUAAUAAUAUAGUGUCUUUGUCGAACAGUCAGCUGUACGAAGUUUCCGCUGUUCCACAAAACGGGUCGACGCCGGUCGCUGAACAUGGGAUGUCCUCAAGUCCACCCAGCAUCGUAUUGAUGAAUCAACAAUACAUCUUACAUCUUACAUCUAACAUCUUACAUCUAUCAUUGCAAUCUUAUAAGUUAUAAUUAUUCACCUGAAUGCAUGUAAUCCUGAAUGUACAGUUAAUUUAUUACUACCCAUCUACAAAGUCAACACUGUAUUAAUAAAAGUAUUUAUUGUUAAAAUAAAA